GGAACUCUUCUGAUGAAUGCCUGAAGUAGCUGGUAUCCCAUGAGAAGAUCCCUCUGCAGAUCUACAGGCAAGACCCAGCUGAUGUAGUUCCAUGGUGCUGCACAGACCUGGGACCAGCUGCCCUCAGCCUCCAGCACCAGGUAUCUAACACAUCUAACCUAUCUAACCUAUCUAACAUACCUAACAUAUGUAACAUAUCCCCCAGAUCCCAGCCUGGCUGAGCACCAACCAACAGUCAGGGCAGACAUUCCAUGAGCAGCUCUCAAUUAAUUAAUUAAUUAAUUAAUUAAAUUUAAAUGGUGUGAAGGGUAUGUGUGUGUGUGUGUGUGUUUAUGAUUGUCUUCAGUCAAAAAGUUUCCUCUGUGUUUACCCCUCCAAACAUUCUUCCACCUUUUUUACUAUUUCCUUUACAGGAAUGGGAUUUUGUGUAGGUUUCCAGGCCUACCUGGGCUGGGGUGGAAACUCAUCAUGGGGGGAAGAGGAGCAGGCUAACUUUACAGGUUGAACACCCUAUUUGCUUGGAAACUUCUCUGCAAUCAGUAGCACCAGGAAGAGGAAUUGCAAACAGCACCAUUAACUGGAGAUUUGAAAGUUGCAGAUACCAAUCAUGGUGCUUGAAAACUGCAGGGAAGUUUACAUGAGAGAAGCAAACAGCAGUGCUUUGUGGGCAAUGCUUUGAUUGAACAGGCACAGUAAGACAGUUUCUCAUCUGUGUUAAUGGAGAAGCAUUCUUUGUUUCUAUUCAGUCUCACUGAUUCCCUGCUCACAAUGUCCUAUUUAAGCCCCAUUAAUUCACUGUGGAGUCUACAGGAAUAAUUUGUGUUCAUCCUUUCUGGAAGGUCUUGCAGCAUCACUGUAGUGAAAGGAAAAAUCAAGAGAGCAUCAAGCUGAGAAGGGCUUGGGUAGGAAAAAUCAGCAGAGUGAAGAUGGGAAAAUGGGGAGCAGAGCUUUGGGUCUGCUGGAGAAAUCCUGUUCACCCUUUGCAAAUCUCUCGAUGGCAAUUAUCUGUUAUCAAUUAUAAACAGGACUCCAGGAAGGUCCCUCUGGGGGCUCCUCAAAGUCCAGGAGGACAGGGAAGAGUGCUGCACCUUCAGCUGGGGCUGGAUGUGUCCUUGUGCAUUUUGGCUCCAGGAGCUGCUGAAGAUGAGGAAUGCCUCAAGAACAAAGCUGCUUGCUGCUGCAUGGAGUUUUCUUUGGUUGGUGUGACCCAAAUCUCAAA
rnacentral:lncRNA from 1 species